AUUGAACGCUGGCGGCAGGCCUAACACAUGCAAGUCGAACGGUAACAGGAAGAAGCUUGCUUCUUUGCUGACGAGUGGCGGACGGGUGAGUAAUGUCUGGGAAACUGCCUGAUGGAGGGGGAUAACUACUGGAAACGGUAGCUAAUACCGCAUAACGUCGCAAGACCAAAGAGGGGGACCUUCGGGCCUCUUGCCAUCGGAUGUGCCCAGAUGGGAUUAGCUAGUAGGUGGGGUAACGGCUCACCUAGGCGACGAUCCCUAGCUGGUCUGAGAGGAUGACCAGACACACUGGAACUGAGACACGGUCCAGACUCCUACGGGAGGCAGCAGUGGGGAAUAUUGCACAAUGGGCGCAAGCCUGAUGCAGCCAUGCCGCGUGUAUGAAGAAGGCCUUCGGGUUGGAAAGUACUUUCAGCGGGGAGGAAGGGAGUAAAGUUAAUACCUUUGCUCAUUGACGUUACCCGCAGAAGAAGCACCGGCUAACUCCGUG
rnacentral:rRNA from 1 species